CACAUACUCUCUCCGUUUCAAAUUAGUUGACUUGAAUUUGUCUAAAUAAAGAUGUAUCUACACUUGUUUAGUGUUUAGAUACAUCCAUAUCUAGAUAAAUAUGGGUCAAGUAAUUUGAAACGGAGAGAGUACAAA
rfam:Triticum aestivum genome assembly, contig: Triticum_aestivum_CS42_TGACv1_scaffold_094434_2AL